GACGAACGCUGGCGGCGUGCUUAACACAUGCAAGUCGAACGAAGAGCGAUGGAAGCUUGCUUCUAUCAAUCUUAGUGGCGAACGGGUGAGUAACGCGUAAUCAACCUGCCCUUCAGAGGGGGACAACAGUUGGAAACGACUGCUAAUACCGCAUACGAUCUAAUCUCGGCAUCGAGGAUAGAUGAAAGGUGGCCUCUACAUGUAAGCUAUCACUGAAGGAGGGGAUUGCGUCUGAUUAGCUAGUUGGAGGGGUAACGGCCCACCAAGGCGAUGAUCAGUAGCCGGUCUGAGAGGAUGAACGGCCACAUUGGGACUGAGACACGGCCCAGACUCCUACGGGAGGCAGCAGUGGGGAAUCUUCCGCAAUGGACGAAAGUCUGACGGAGCAACGCCGCGUGAGUGAUGACGGCCUUCGGGUUGUAAAGCUCUGUUAAUCGGGACGAAAGGCCUUCU
rnacentral:rRNA from 1 species